rnacentral:pre_miRNA from 1 species
AAUAUACUCCAUCCGUUCCAAAAUUCUUGUCUUAGAUUUGUCUAGAUAUGGAUGUAUCAAGUCACGUUUUAGUAUUAGAUACAUCCGUAUCUAAACAAAUUUAAGACAAGAAUUUUGGGACGGAGGGAGUACUUU